rnacentral:rRNA from 1 species
UAGGGAAUCUUCCACAAUGGACGCAAGUCUGAUGGAGCAACGCCGCGUGAGUGAAGAAGGUCUUCGGAUCGUAAAGCUCUGUUGUUGGUGAAGAAGGAUAGAGGCAGUAACUGGUCUUUAUUUGACGGUAAUCAACCAGAAAGUCACGGCUAACUACGUGCCAGCAGCCGCGGUAAUACGUGGGUGGCAAGCGUUGUCCGGAUUUAUUGGGCGUAAAGCGAGCGCAGGCGGAAUGAUAAGUCUGAUGUGAAAGCCCACGGCUCAACCGUGGAACUGCAUCGGAAACUGUCAUUCUUGAGUGCAGAAGAGGAGAGUGGAACUCCAUGUGUAGCGGUGGAAUGCGUAGAUAUAUGGAAGAACACCAGUGGCGAAGGCGGCUCUCUGGUCUGCAACUGACGCUGAGGCUCGAAAGCAUGGGUAGCGAACAGGAUUAGAUACCCUGGUAGUCCAUGCCGUAAACGAUGAGCGCUAGGUGUUGGGGACUUUCCGGUCCUCAGUGGCCGC